rnacentral:rRNA from 1 species
UACAGAGGGUGCAAGCGUUAAUCGGAAUUACUGGGCGUAAAGCGUGCGUAGACGGUUAUUUAAGUCAGGUGUGAAAGCCCCGGGCUCAACCUGGGAAUUGCAUUUGAGACUGAAUAGCUAGGGUGCGGAAGAGGGAAGCGGAAUUUCCGGUGUAGCGGUGAAAUGCGCAGAUAUCGGAAGGAACACCAGUGGCGAAGGCGGGUCUCUGGGCCGAUACUGACGCUGAGGUGCGAAAGCGUGGGGAGCAAACAGG